AGUGAACGCUGGCGGUAGGCCUAACACAUGCAAGUCGAACGGCAGCACAGGAGAGCUUGCUCUCUGGGUGGCGAGUGGCGGACGGGUGAGGAAUACAUCGGAAUCUACUUUGUCGUGGGGGAUAACGUAGGGAAACUUACGCUAAUACCGCAUACGACCUACGGGUGAAAGCAGGGGAUCUUCGGACCUUGCGCGAUUGAAUGAGCCGAUGUCGGAUUAGCUAGUUGGCGGGGUAAAGGCCCACCAAGGCGACGAUCCGUAGCUGGUCUGAGAGGAUGAUCAGCCACACUGGAACUGAGACACGGUCCAGACUCCUACGGGAGGCAGCAGUGGGGAAUAUUGGACAAUGGGCGCAAGCCUGAUCCAGCCAUACCGCGUGGGUGAAGAAGGCCUUCGGGUUGUAAAGCCCUUUUGUUGGGAAAGAAAUCCAGCCGGCUAAUACCUGGUUGGGAUGACGGUACCCAAAGAAUAAGCACCGGCUAACUUCGUGCCAGCAGCCGCGGUAAUACGAAGGGUGCAAGCGUUACUCGGAAUUACUGGGCGUAAAGCGUGCGUAGGUGGUUAUUUAAGUCCGUUGUGAAAGCCCUGGGCUCAACCUGGGAACUGCAGUGGAUACUGGAUGACUAGAAUGUGGUAGAGGGUAGCGGAAUUCCUGGUGUAGCAGUGAAAAUGCGUAGAGAUCAGGAGGGAACAUCCCAUGGCGAAGGCAGCUACCUGGACCAACUUUGACACUGAGGGCACGAAAGCGUGGGGAGAAAAACGAUAGAUACCCUUGGUGGUCCGAGGGGCGAAUUCUAGUGGAAUCAGCUAUCCAUCCCGCCGCCUCGCGGGUUGUGUUUUUUCCUAGGUUUUGUCUCAUAUAAAGAGUGUUAAUAUCCGUUCUCCCG
rnacentral:rRNA from 1 species